rnacentral:rRNA from 1 species
CAGCCGCCGCGGUAAUACAGAGGGUGCGAGCGUUAAUCGGAUUUACUGGGCGUAAAGCGUGCGUAGGCGGCUUUUUAAGUCGGAUGUGAAUUCCCUGAGCUUAACUUAGGAAUUGCAUUCGAUACUGGGAAGCUAGAGUAUGGGAGAGGAUGGUAGAAUUCCAGGUGUAGCGGUGAAAUGCGUAGAGAUCUGGAGGAAUACCGAUGGCGAAGGCAGCCAUCUGGCCUAAUACUGACGCUGAGGUACGAAAGCAUGGGGAGCAAACAGGAUUAGAUACCCGCGUAGUCCCUGUCUCUUAUAC